rnacentral:rRNA from 1 species
AGGAUGAACGCUGGCGGAGUGCCUAACACAUGCAAGUCGAGCGGCAGCGCGAAGAAUUUAUUCUUUGGCGGCGAGCGGCGGACGGCUGAGUAACGCGUGGGAACAUGCCCCAAAGUGAGGGAUAAGCAUCGGAAACGGUGUCUAAUACCGCAUAUGAUCUUCGGAUUAAAGGAUUUAUCCGCUUUGGGAAUGGCCUGCGUACGAUUAGAUAGUUGGUGAGGUAAAGGCUCACCAAGUCUACGAUCGUUAACUGGUUUGAGAGGAUGAUCAGUCAGACUGGAACUGAGACACGGUCAGACUCCGUACGGGAGCAGCAGUGAGGAAUCUUCACAA